rnacentral:tRNA from 1 species
GCGGGCGUGGCGGAAUUGGUAGACGCGCAGCGUUGAGGUCGCUGUUCCUAAUUAUUGGAGUGGAAGUUCAACUCUUCUCGUCCGCACCA